rnacentral:rRNA from 1 species
AGUGAACGCUGGCGGUAGGCCUAACACAUGCAAGUCGAACGGCAGCACAGUAAGAGCUUGCUCUUACGGGUGGCGAGUGGCGGACGGGUGAGGAAUACAUCGGAAUCUACUUUUUCGUGGGGGAUAACGUAGGGAAACUUACGCUAACACCGCAUACGACCUACGGGUGAAAGCAGGGGAUCUUCGGACCUUGCGCGAUUGAAUGAGCCGAUGUCGGAUUAGCUAGUUGGCGGGGUAAAGGCCCACCAAGGCGACGAUCCGUAGCUGGUCUGAGAGGAUGAUCAGCCACACUGGAACUGAGACACGGUCCAGACUCCUACGGGAGGCAGCAGUGGGGAAUAUUGGACAAUGGGCGCAAUCCUGAUCCAGCCAUACCGCGUGGGUGAAGAAGGCCUUCGGGUUGUAAAGCCCUUUUGUUGGGAAAGAAAAGCAGCAGGUUAAUACCCCGCUGUUCUGACGGUACCCAAAGAAUAAGCACCGGCUAACUUCGUG